rnacentral:rRNA from 1 species
CCUACGGGAGGCAGCAGUGGGGAAUAUUGCACAAUGGGGGGAACCCUGAUGCAGCGACGCCGCGUGGGUGAAGGAGCACCUCGGUGCGUAAAGCCCUAUCGGCAGGGAAGAAACAGACGGUACCUGACUAAGAAGCCCCGGCUAACUACGUGCCAGCAGCCGCGGUAAUACGGAGGAUGCGAGCGGUAUCCGGAUUUAUUGGGUUAAAAGGGUGCGUAGGCGGACUGUUAAGUCAGCGGUAAAAGCCCGGGGCUCAACCCCGGCGAGCCGUUGAAACUGGCUGUCUUGAGAUGUCGAGAGGUAUGCGGAAUGCGCAGUGUAGCGGUGAAAUGCUUAGAUAUUGCGCAGAACUCCGAUUGCGAAGGCAGCAUACCGGCGGCGAUCUGACGCUGAGGCACGAAAGCGUGGGUAUCGAACAGGAUUAGAUACCCCAGUAGUC